AUUGAACGCUGGCGGCAGGCCUAACACAUGCAAGUCGAACGAGUGGCGGACUGGUGAGUAGUGUCUGGGAACCUGCCUGAUGGAGGGGGAUAACUGCUGGAAACGGUAGCUAAUACCGCAUACCAUCAGAUGUGCCCAGAUUGGAUUAGCUAGUUGGUGGGGUAACGGCUCACCAAGGCGACGAGCCCUAGCUGGUCUGAGAGGAUGACCGGCCACACUGGAACUGAGACACGGUCCAGACUCCUACGGGAGGCAGCAGUGGGGAAUAUUGCACAAUGGGCGCAAGCCUGAUGCAGCCAUGCCGCGUGGAUGAAGAAGGCCUUCGGGUUGUAAAGCACUUUCAGCGGGGAGGCGUUACCCGCAGAAGAAGCACCGGCUAACUCCGUGCCAGCAGCCGCGGUAAUUC
rnacentral:rRNA from 1 species